rnacentral:rRNA from 1 species
AUACGAAGGGUGCAAGCGUUACUCGGAAUUACUGGGCGUAAAGCGUGCGUAGGUGGUUGUUUAAGUCUGUCGUGAAAGCCCUGGGCUCGACCUGGGAAUGGCGAUGGAAACUGGGCGACUAGAGUGUGGCAGAGGGUAGUGGAAUUCCUGGUGUAGCAGUGAAAUGCGUAGAGAUCAGGAGGAACAUCCGUGGCGAAGGCGACUGCCUGGGCCAACACUGACACUGAGGCACGAAAGCGUGGGGAGCAAACAGGAUUAGAUACCCUGGUAGUCCACGCCCUAAACGAUGCGAACUGGAUGUUGGGUGCAAUUUGGCACGCAGUAUCGAAGCUAACGCGUUAAGUUCGCCGCCUGGGGAGUACGGUCGCAAG